GAUGAACGCUGGCGGCGUGCCUAAUACAUGCAAGUCGAGCGAACGGACGAGAAGCUUGCUUCUCUGAUGUUAGCGGCGGACGGGUGAGUAACACGUGGAUAACCUACCUAUAAGACUGGGAUAACUUCGGGAAACCGGAGCUAAUACCGGAUAAUUUUUUGAACCGCAUGGUUCAAAAGUGAAAGACGGUCUUGCUGUCACUUAUAGAUGGAUCCGCGCUGCAUUAGCUAGUUGGUAAGGUAACGGCUUACCAAGGCAACGAUGCAUAGCCGACCUGAGAGGGUGAUCGGCUACACUGGAAGUGAGACACGGUCCAGACUCCUACGGUAGGCAGCAGUAGGGACUCUUACGCAAUGGGCGAGAGCCUGACGGAGCAACGCCGGGUGAGUGAUGAUGGUCUUCGGAUCGUAAAACUCUGUUAUUAGGGAAGAACAUAUGUGUAAGUAACUGUGCACAUCUUGACGGUACCUAAUCAGAAAGCCACGGCUAACUACGUG
rnacentral:rRNA from 1 species